UUGUGUUUUUUUUUGUUCACAGUUAAUUUCCUGGUCAUUUUUCACGUAGAACAACCUCGACAUCAAACACUGAAAGAAACAACGGACACUCAAGAGAUAGUUCACUCUACACUGAUAGAAGAGAGCGCUUUUAUCAGUUUUACUGGAGACUUUAAGAACAUCAUCUGAGGAACUGAUUUUCUGAACUGAAUGAAGGAAUGAAGUUCACGUCCACCGUAUCUGUCUUUCUGCUGAUGGUGAGCAGUUCAGUGUGUGUCCGUCCAGAUUUUACAGUAAGAGGAAAGGAAGGAGAACAAGUGACUAUUAAGUGUCCUUAUCCAGAAGGAUAUGAAAACUCCUACAAGUACUUCUAUAAAGGACCUUACAGAGAUGGAAAUCUUCUUCUACAAUCUGAUGGAGGAAAGUCAUCAGUGGUCAGAGACAGAUUCUCUCUGCAGAACGAUCAUCAGAGGAGAUCAUUUACAGUGAUCUUCAGAAACCUGAGGAUGACAGAUGAUGGACUGUACGGCUGUGUAGCUGGAUGGGGAGAAUAUAAACUGAUCCAGCUGAACGUGAUUAAAGCUCCACCGAAAA